GAGUCUUUGAACGCAAGUUGCGCCCGAAGCCACCUGGCCGAGGGCACGUCCAAGGAAAACAAAAAUGAGAAGGACACUACCUGUUUCGCCCCGUUUGCGGUGUGCGUACAGGUCGUGGCCUCCUUGGAAUCACAAACGACUCUCGGCAACGGAUAUCUCGGCUCACGCAUCGAUGAAGAACGUAGCAAAAUGCGAUACUUGGUGUGAAUUGCAGAAUCCCGUGAACCAUCGAGUUUUUGAACGCAAGUUGCGCCCGAAGCCAUCCGGCUGAGGGCACGCCUGCCUGGGCGUCACGCAUCGCGUCGCUCCCCACCAUACCUCCCCAACGGGUUGGCAUGGUGUUGGGGGCGGAUAAUGGCCUCCCGUGCUUGUGUUUCGGUUGGCCUAAAUAAGAGUUCCCUUCGGCGGACACACGACUAGUGGUGGUUGAAUAGACCCUCGUCUUUUGUUGCGUGUCGUGAGCUGUAAGGGUAGCCCUCAUCAAAGACCCCAUUGUAUCGUCUUCGGAUGAUGCUUCGACCGCGACCCCAGGUCAGGCGGGACUACCCGCUGAG
rnacentral:rRNA from 1 species